rnacentral:misc_RNA from 1 species
GAAACGCGAUAGUUAAUGUGAAUUGCAGAAUUCAGUGAAUCAUCGAGUCUUUGAACGCACAUUGCGCCCAUAGGUAUUCCUUUGGGCAUGUCUGUUUGAGCGUCAUUACAACCCUCAGCUAACCGCUGGUUUUGAACCUGAACGGGUGACACCGCGCCGGUUUUAAAGUUGUAAGCUCUGCUGACCGCUCUGCCCAACCAGAACAUAGUAAGCACUACUUGUCCGGGUGAAGCUGAACGGUACGGCCUGAACAAAACCUACCCACUCUCAAGGUUUGACCUCAGAUCAGACAAGGAUACCCGCUGAACUUAAGC